rnacentral:rRNA from 1 species
CCUACGGGAGGCAGCAGUGAGGAAUAUUGGUCAAUGGGCGCUAGCCUGAACCAGUCAAGUAGCGUGAAGGAUGACUGCCCUAUGGUUUUUAAACUUCUUUUAUAUGGGAAUAAAGUGCAGUAUGUAUACUGCUUUGCAUGUACCUUAUGAAUAAGGAUCGUCUAACUCCGUGCCAGCAGCCGCGGUAAUACGGAGGAUCCGAGCGUUAUCCGGAUUUAUUGGGCUUAAAGGGAGCGUAGGCGGGUUGUUAAGUCAGUUGUGAAAGUUUGGGGCUCAACCGUAAAAUUGCAGUUGAUACUGGCAUCCUUGAGUACAGUAGAGGUAGGCGGAAUUCGUGGUGUAGCGGUGAAAUGCUUAGAUAUGGCGAAGAACCCCGAUUGUGAAGGCAGCUUGCUGCAGCGGAACUGACGCUGAUACUCGAAAGCGCGGGUAUCGAACAGGAUUAGAUACCCCUGUAGUC